rnacentral:lncRNA from 1 species
AAAAAAAGUCUUUAUUAUGUAAUCCUUCUCUGUUAGGAUUGCAUAUCCUUUUUUUUGGCCAUGCCUGCAGCAUGCAGAAAUUGCUGGGCUAGGGAUGGAACCUGCACCACAGCAGUGACAAUACCAGAUCCUUAACCCGCCAGGCCACCAAGGAACUCUGGGGUGUGUGUUUUAUUUUUCCUCUUUACGGCUGCACCUGAGACAUAUGGAAGUUCCCAGGGUAGGGGUCGAAUCACAGCUGCAGCUACUGGGCCUACGCCAAAGCCACAGCCACACCAGAUCUGAGCUGCAUCUGUGACCUACACCGCAGCUUGAGGCAAUGCUGGAGCUUUUGGGGUUGCACCCGCGGCAUAUGGAAGUUCCCAGGUUAGGGGUCUAAUUGGAGAUAUAGCUGCCGGCCUACGCCACUGCCACAGCAACACCAGAUCCAAGCCGAGUCUGAGACCUACACCACAGCUCACAGCAAUGCCAGAUCCUUAACCCACUGAGCGAGGCCAGGGAUUGAAUCUGCAACCUCAUGGUUCCUAGUCAGAUUCAUUUCUGCUGUGCCACGAUGGGAACUCCAAGGCUGGAUCCUUAACCAACUUAUAGAAGCCAGGGACCAUACCCGCAUCCCCACAGACACUAUGUUGGGUUCUUAGCCUGAUGAUCCACAGCGGGAACUCUAGGAUUUGUAUAUUUCAAUGUCAGUGGUACCAAAAAUGCCUAUAAUAAAGAAAAUCAAAAUGAAUAAACUGUAGUAUAUCCACGCAGUGGAAUUCCACUCAACAACAGAAAGGAAUAAACUAUACAGGCAACAUCACAGAUAAAUCUCAAAAUACUGAGCAAAAGAGGCCAGACACAAAAGAGGACAAACUGUAUGGUUCCAAUUUCCUGAUAUUUUGGAAAAGGCAAAAUUAUGGAGACCAAGAACACUGGUUAUCAGGGUGUUGAUGAGAAAGGGGCAGCAUGGCUGAGCUUUUUAGAGUGAUGGAAAGGUUCCAUGACUUUGCUGUGGCAGUGUUUGCACGCCUAUAUGUUUAUUAAAACUCAGAACUAUACCCCUAAAAAGGGUGAAUUUUACGCUACAUAAAUUUUACCUCAAUAAACUUGGCUUUUAAAAAAUCAGGCAGUUCCCUGGUGGCCUAGCAGUUAAGUAUCCAGCAUUGUCACUGCUGUGGCUUGGGUCACUGCUGCAGUAAGAGUUUGAUCCCCGGCCCAGGAACUUCCACAUGCUGCAGAUGCAUCCAGAAAAAAAAAAAUCAAGUUAGGCGUAAGAGGGGAGUGCGUACAGGGAUCAGUGUAACAAGACUGGCAGGACGUCGAUGCCUGUUGAAACUCGGUGGCAGGUAUAUGGUGGUUUGUUACACGCUUAUGUUUAUCAUAUAUGAGUUCUUAGUUAUUUUAACAGAAGGGGAAGUCUCUGUGUGAUGGAGACAAAGAUGUCACUGGGUCAUUUGACUGUUCAUCUCUCCCCACCCCUCAGCCCUUUGCACAUUAAUGAACCGAUGACCCUAGAUUCUCAAACUGACCUCCUGCUUUUCAUGUGCUUAAAGAAACUAGAACAAUUUACUUUGACAAUUCUUGCUGGUAGUCUUUAGAAUUUUUUAAUGCCAUUUGAUUUGUAGCUUUCACAAGUUUGCUCUAUUUUGAAGUCUCUUUCUUCCCUCAGCCUGGGUAUCCUUUCCCAUUUAAUAUUUAUUUAUUUUUAAAGAUGCCCUUGUCCUCACAAUGGUCUCUUUGAUAUGUCAGUAAACCAUGCAGGCCUUAUUUUUCAAGUGGCUGUUCUUUUGGAUUUGUGCCAUGCAUUUAUCACGGGCUUCCAAUAAAGCACUUUUAAUAGAAAUGGGCUCCAGGCUUUCUAUGGGCUGUAACUUUUAAACAAUUCCUUUCAUUUCUCCCCCCUUAAUGCCCUCAUUCUGUCCUAGUUUCCCUUUCUAAAACUGAGCAAUCAAAUGAUGGAUUUUCCCCCCUCCCCUUCCCGUUAGCAGACUGAAUGUGUAUUGUGGGCACUAUUGACUGGGUGGUUUACCCAUGACCACUCAGUGCCCCAGUGUGGUCACCACAGACCCAGAUUCACUCCACUGCUUCCUGCAGAGGGGUUUCAAGUAGUUGCCAGGCAUCCAGCACUCCUGACUGCACCAGUCUUCACCUUUCUAUUGUUGACUGGCUCACCAUCAAUGUACAGGAUAAAAUCCCAACUCUCACAGCUGUUAGAACAACCUGAACAGACCAAGUAUUGAUGAAGAUGAAAAUACCCAAGAGAAGUGAAAAUAUAUGUCCACGCAAAUGAAAAUGAAUGUUCAUUAGUCACAAUAGCCAGAACUGGAAACAACCCCAAUGCCCACUAAGAGGUAAAUGGACUAAAAAUUGUGCUUUAUCAGAGCUCCUGCUGUGGUGCAAUGGGAUUGCCAUCAUCUCUGCAACACCAGGACACAGGUUCAAUCUGCGGCCCGGCACAGUGGGUUAAAGGAUCUGGAUUUGCCACAGCUGCAAUGUAGGUUGCAGCUAUGGCUCUGAUCUGAUUCCUGGCCCAGGAACUCCAUAUGCCAUGGAGUGGCCAAAAAAAAAAAAAAAAAAAAAAAAAAA